AUGGCACAGGGACCCCAGCAGCUGCAGCAAUCAAAGCAGAAAGCACAGGGAACAAAUCCCACUGCAUCACCCAAGGCCAGGCUCUUAGGCCAAAGCAUCUGGAUGACGGUGUGGAAUCACAGGGGCCACCUGAGAGAGUCAGAGGAUGUGCCCCGGACAAGCCCUGGUGACAGCCCAGGAACCAGAGAAGUCCAAUUAGGAGACGGUUGUUUCAAGCUCCCGGACAGAAGGGGUCCUGUUUGCUGUAUUCCCUGCAGAACCCUCCUGCUCGUAACAGAGCGUGCCUCCUGGAAGACACACAAAUAUCCAUUGAUGCUGGGCAUGUUGGAAGCUCUAUUUUUAAAGGGAAGCCAGAUCAUUUUAUAAAGAAGGGGCCAGUCGCUACCCAGGCAGGGUUUGGUGCAGCAAGCUAUUCCAGAAAUUCUUUCCUUCCAAACCCAGUCACUUCUUUGAGCUCCUAAUGUGUGUGUAACUCACUCACGCAUGCGUUUCCUGAAUGGAGAAUAAGCUCAUGUCUUAGGAGUCAGAAAGCCCCGGGUUCCAAUCCCAGCCUUGCCACACCCUGCUGUCUGACCUGAGUCAGGUAAGCGAUUUAGUCUAAGCCUGAGUUUUUCACCUGUGCAAUGGAGGUAACAUAGUAUCCAUCUCUGAGUAUGAGGAGCAAAUGAAACAAUGGAGGUGGUGUAUCUAGAAGGGCACCAGGAACACAGCAGAAGUUUAAUAGAGUUUAACUAUUGCUACAGGACUUUGGUGUUUUUUUUUGUCUUCUCUGCCUAGAACACACAACAUAACCCUCCACUCUUUCUCUAAGGCUCACCAGUAUGACACUCCCCUGGGAGGAAGCUUCCACGGACAUUUCCCACUCAUAAACGUCUCUUUGUGCUUUCGUUGUAACCUGUGAACGCUUCGUCCUUGGAUUCACUGCCUUUAUUUUCAUGGUCAGCUCCGGUACCUGUCUCUUGGCCAGACUGAGAGCUCCCUGAAGUCAGGGCGCUGUGUUACUUAACACUUCCCCUCCCAGCUUGCAUGGCUUUUGGUCAUGUUAGGGGUUUAAGCAUUUGCUGGUUCAAUGAAAGGCAAUGUCGCAUAGUUUAAGGGAUAAACGAUCGUUACAGAUAGUCAGGGCUUAUCUCAGGUCUGAGGAAGAGGCAAAAGGGACUAAUACUUGUGGACUGUGUUCGAAGAAGGAAGGACAAUUUGAUAAAAAGAAGUGAAGGUUUUGGUAUAUUAUCUAUAUUUUUUUAAAGAACUCUGUUUAAACCGGGUGAUGAUCAUGUGUUUUUGGGUUUAACUGCUGCCCUCGGCAUAGUCCUUUAACAUUUGAAGUUUUCUAGCACCCUUGGAUAGUUUAAGGGUAGUUCUACUAUAUUCCAGGGGUUCCUGGCUGGGCUCUAGUGGUGGAGAAUUUGCCUGCCAGUACAGGCUACAAAAAGAGACCCGGGUUCAGUCCCUGGGGGGGGAAGAUCCCCUGGAGGAGGGCGUGGCAACCCACUCCAGUAUUCUUGCCUGGAGAAUCCCAUGGACAGAGGAGCCUGAUGGGCUACAGUCCAUAUGGUUGCAAAGAGUUGAACACAAGUGAAUUGACUUAGCACACAAACACACUAUUAUAUUCCAGAGGUUGACAUUGAUACAUUGGUUAUAUUUAUUUCCAGCGAACAUCAGAAGAUGUAUUAGUGUACUGGGUAUCAGAUUUUAUUUUUUUGUUGGUGGAGUGAGUCGUGCUUGUUGGAUUGGUAGACAAGUUGUUCAGAAUCCUUGCCUUCACAUGAGGAGAGCAUAAGCAACUCGUGUCCUUUGAAACGGCCUCCAGGUCUUAGAAUUCCACUAGGUCCCGAGUCUAUCGCUUAAAGAGAGGUCUGUCAUCUGACCAAUUAACUGAAUCUUGCCGCUAGCGUCUUGUCGCAUCUGCUUUCUCGAGUGAAAGGACAGAGAGCCGGGGCUUUGAGAGCUUACAAACCAGGCGGUCUGCUGCCUGUUCCCGCUGGCUGAUGAGCAUCUCCGGGUGUCAGAAUCCGGCUCGAGACUUGCGUUUUCUGUGACAGGCUCAGAGGCAGAGGGGAGGACACUCAUGGCCCUCGCUCCCCCCGACCACUGAAGCCUGCGGAGUGAUAAAGGUGAUACUCUGAUGGUGAGCAGCCACUGGUUCAGGUCGUCGUGGACAAGCAGGCUAGGAGGCGGUGGCAGCAAUGAAAAUGGAAAAGGAGAAAAAAGUGUGGGCGGGACCCAGAAGAGAGCAGAACCAGCAGGACCUGGUGGCUGUGGUGCGAUGGGUACUACAGUCUGGAUGUUUAUCUUCCCCCCGAAUUCAUAUUGCAAUCCUAACCCAAGAAGGUGAUGGCCUUAGGCUCUGAGGCCUUUGGGAGCUGAUUGCGUGGUGGAGCCCCCAAGAACAGGAUCCGUGCCCUUGAACAAGGUGAAUCUUUUCUGAAAUAUCUAUUAUCUGGCUGCGGUGGGGCUGUUGCUGCACAUGGCAUCUCCGACCUUUGUCGAGGCAUGCAGGAUAUUUAGUUUUGGCGUUUGACCCUUAGGUGUGGCAUGUGAGCUCCAGUUCCCUGACUGGGGAUUGAACUUGGGUCCCCUGCAUUGGGAGUGUGGAGUCUUAGCCACAGGACCAUCAGGGAAGUCCCAGUGCCCUUAUACAAGAGACCCCAGAGAGCUUUUUCUCCCUUUCUACCCUGUGGGGUACAUGAAGUUUGUGACCUACAAGAGGGCUGUCACCCAACCAUGCUGGCACCGUGAUCUCAGAUCGCCAGCCUCCAGAGCCACUUGAAACACAUUUCUGUGUUUUACAGAAAGUCGCCUGGUUUGUGACAUUGUUAUAUGAGCAGCACCAGGAGAUGGAGACAGGCGCUGAUGCUGACCUUGCACACGGAAGAGGCAUGGCUUCUUUGUCCUAGAAGCAGACUCUCCCCUAAAUCUGAGGGCGAGUUUGUGUAGAGGUCCAAGAUGUCCCCAUAGCUUACUCUCCAGGUCAUACGUUUCCUGGGAGCUUGCCUUCUAUUUGCAGCCUUCUGUUUUACCCAGAAACCCAUCCCCAACAUACCAAUUUAGAAACAAAUAUAUCUUCUGCCCUAUAACAUGGCUUUGGAAAAAGGGUUUUCUAUGCAUCAGGGGAUGUAAAGGGAAAGCACAGCCGUAGAACAUAUUUUUGUUGGACAUGUCACCGUUGACACUUGGGGACUCCUUGACUGUGAAACAACAGGUCCUUUGUGAUCCUUUGAAGCUCCCUGGUUGAGCAGAAUCUCCUAUCUCAGCAUCUUCCUGCUGUUUUAAGAAAUAAGUCAACAAAUAAAGAUGAAUAUCACAUUCUUUAUUGUUGAUAUCCACAACAUCAUCAAACAAAAGAGAACACAAACCACUGUAUUUUGGCUUUUUAUUUGCCAUCACUUUAAUUGAGACCAUCAGCUCUCCCAGGGAGCCUUGUAAAAAUACAGAUUCCUGGGCCCAGCCCCCCUCCCAGGUUCUGGUUUUGCAGCUAUGAAAGAGAGACUGUCUUUCCCACCAGAGAGCCAGCUGUGUUUUUGUUUAAGGAACCUUUGCUCCUUUGUUCUAGGACAGGCUGCAGGCUGAGUGAAGGUGGAACUUUCCGUGCGUUCUGUGCCAGUGUCCAUGUGGUCUUGUUUGGUGGCAGCUUCUCACUGCAUUAGUAAUAAACUGCCUUCGGGCGCGGGCCAGCUCUGUUCUCCACGAGCGCUCCCCCAGCUUCUCCAUUUGGCUUCAGCCUUCUGUUUCUGAAUCGGCCUUGGCAGGUUUAGAAGGUGCCUUGGAGACAAUUCUGUGCCCAGUGAGCACCCUGACUUGGCACAGGGCUCUGGCCAAGAGGGCUGAUGGGGAGAGCACGGUCUAGGCUUCCGGACGCAGCGUGUGGCAGAGAGACUGACCGGGGGAGGAGACUUCGGAGAAGACAUUUCUAAAGUUUUCAGAGACACGCAGGCAGAAUCUGAUUUUGAGGCAUAAAAACACAGGCAGAGUUAAAAUACAGGAAGGGGAAUGGAGCUGGCAGCCUGCUGAGAAGGUUGGAGAGGUUGAACGGGGAAGGGUUGGGGAGGUUGCCAGCUCUGUUCCUGUCCCUGUACUUUAUAACUCUACCUGCUCAAAGCUUGGCCUAGGUGAAAUGUGGCCGUUCGUGGGUGCGUCUGUAUACAUCUUCUUAGGCCCUUAUACCUCAGUGUGAAUGAAUGUAUUAACACUGGGUCCUUUCCUGGAAUCAGGAAAGAAAAGAGAAUGAUGGUUGGACAUGAAAAGCAGGAAGGGCGAGGGGGACGAGGGGCCCCGAAGACCAACUCUGGCUCACUGGCAGCCCUGCCUGACACGGGGAGGGUGCGGGCUGUACAGGCAGGCGCACUCACAGCAGGUAAGGGCACAGGGACCCGGGCUGAUGCGUUCUUUGGAAACAUUUCACACGAAAGCCCUGAACUUGAAUGGAUACAGAAACGUCUUCAACACCUUGAAGUCCUUAUCUUUCUCGUGUCCCCCAGUAGUGUUUUUUCUUUAAAGAUUUUUUUUUUUUAAUGAGGACCAUUUUUAGUCUUUAUUGAAGUUGUUUCACUGUUCUUCCUACUCUGUGUCUUGGUUCCUUGGCCGUGAGGCAUGAGGGAUCUUAGUUCCCCGACCAGGGAUCGAACCGUAUCCCGUGCACUGGAAGCUGAAAUCUUACCCACUGGACUGUCAGAGAAGUCCCCGUCAGCGAUGUUUUUGUUGUUUAUUUUCCAUUAUAACUGAUGCCGAUGUAUUGCGUAUAGUUCCCAGUGCUGUACAGCAGGACCUUGUGGCCCGUCUACCUUAUAAAGUCACUAGCUUGCCUCUGCUAAUACGAAACUCCUGAUGUGUCC
ensembl:lincRNA